CAGCAGUGAGGAAUAUUGGUCAAUGGGCGGAAGCCUGAACCAGCCAAGUCGCGUGAGGGAAGACGGUCCUAUGGAUUGUAAACCUCUUUUGCAGGGGAGCAAGGCGCGGUACGUGUACCGCGAAGGAGAGUACCCUGAGAAAAAGCAUCGGCUAACUCCGUGCCAGCAGCCGCGGUAAUACGGAGGAUGCGAGCGUUAUCCGGAUUUAUUGGGUUUAAAGGGUGCGCAGGCGGACUGUUAAGUCAGCGGUAAAAUGUCGGUGCUCAACACCGGCCGGCCGUUGAAACUGGCAGCCUUGAGUGAGCGAGAAGUAUGCGGAAUGCGUGGUGUAGCGGUGAAAUGCAUAGAUAUCACGCAGAACUCCGAUUGCGAAGGCAGCAUACCGGCGCUCAACUGACGCUCAGGCACGAAAGCGUGGGUAUCGAACAGGCUUAGA
rnacentral:rRNA from 1 species